rnacentral:rRNA from 1 species
GAUGAACGCUGGCGGCGUGCCUAAUACAUGCAAGUCGAGCGAACGGACGAGAAUCUUGCUUCUCUGAUGUUAGCGGCGGACGGGUGAGUAACACGUGGAUAACCUACCUAUAAGACUGGGAUAACUUCGGGAAACCGGAGCUAAUACCGGAUAAUAUUUUGAACCGCAUGGUUCAAAAGUGAAAGACGGUCUUGCUGUCACGUAUAGAUGGAUCCGCGCUGCAUUAGCUAGUUGGUAAGGUAACGGCUUACCAAGGCAACGAUGCAUAGCCGACCUGAGAGGGUGAUCGGCCACCCUGGAACUGAGACACGGUCCAGACUCCUACGGGAGGCAGCAGUAGGGAAUGUUCCGCAAUGGGCGAAAGCCUGACGGAGCAACGCCGCGUGAGUGAUGAAGGUCUUCGGAUCGUAAAACUCUGUUAUUAGGGAAGAACAUAUGUGUAAGUAAAUGUGCACAUCUUGACGGUACCUAAUCAGAAAGCCACGGCUAACUACGUG